rnacentral:rRNA from 1 species
AAAAGGUGGCUAUGCUACCGCUUUUGGAUGGGCCCGCGGCGCAUUAGCUAGUUGGUGGGGUAAAGGCUUACCAAGGCAAUGAUGCGUAGCCGAACUGAGAGGUUGAUCGGCCACAUUGGGACUGAGACACGGCCCAAACUCCUACGGGAGGCAGCAGUAGGGAAUCUUCCACAAUGGGCGAAAGCCUGAUGGAGCAACGCCGCGUGGGUGAAGAAGGUCUUCGGAUCGUAAAACCCUGUUGUUAGAGAAGAAAGUGCGUGAGAGUAACUGUUCACGUUUCGACGGUAUCUAACCAGAAAGCCACGGCUAACUACGUGCCAGCAGCCGCGGUAAUACGUAGGUGGCAAGCGUUAUCCGGAUUUAUUGGGCGUAAAGGGAACGCAGGCGGUCUUUUAAGUCUGAUGUGAAAGCCUUCGGCUUAACCGGAGUAGUGCAUUGGAAACUGGGAGACUUGAGUGCAGAAGAGGAGAGUGGAACUCCAUGUGUAGCGGUGAAAUGCGUAGAUAUAUGGAAGAACACCAGUGGCGAAAGCGGCUCUCUGGUCUGUAACUGACGCUGAGGUUCGAAAGCGUGGGUAGCAAACAGGAUUAGAUACCCUGGUAGUCCACGCCGUAAACGAUGAAUGCUAAGUGUUGGAGGGUUUCCGCCCUUCA